ACUCGCUGGAUUAACACUGCUUCACAGCAAUCUUUCAAGUUAGCUUUUAAAGGGAGUGAGGGAACGUUUAUACAGGUUCCCCCACCUCAUCUGAGUUGCUGUUUUCCACAGAUCGCCUCCUUCAGUGUGUCACCAAACUACGAAAUCCUCUUCUUCUCAUCUGAGAUAUACGAAGUGGUGAACAUUCUGAAUUUUUUUUGAUGCCAAAGUUGAACUUAAUGAAGUCGUAAAAGACCUGGAAAAGUUUGAAAUAGGAGACAGAAACACUGGAACAAAUCUGAACCUGGUCUUCACAACCUUUGAGAACAAAAUGGCUUUCAUACAGAGGCAAGUUGGAGAUGAGGCAUUUAAAGAUCACCGGCAUGUCCUGAUCCUCUUCACUGAUGGUGCCUACAAUAUGGGCGGUUCUCCCUUACCUACUGUUGCCAGGAUAAAGAACAGAGUUUAUAUGAAUCACACUGAGGAUAAACAGGCCGGAUCAAGAGAUGAACAUCUCGACAUUUAUAUCUUUGCCAUUGGAGCUGACAUCUUCGAUGAAGACCUGCAGCCCCUCACUGCAGGAACAGGAGGCAACCAUUACUUCAGGAUGUCAAAAUUGCAGAAUUACGAGAGACCUUCGAUGACAUAAUUGAUGAAAGAGAAGUUGUAGGUCUCUGUGGCCUGCACCGAGAUUAUGAAACCACAUAUGACAAAGAAAGCAAGAGGAAAAGAUAUCCGUGGUUGGCAUUUGUCAUUAACAAGGGAGCAAAAACCAAAACUUGCAUCGGCUCGCUGGUGUCGCCUGACUUUGUCCUGACCGCUGCCCACUGCUUCACCUUUGGGGAUGAACCGACGGAUAUAAAGGUGGAGAUUGAAGAUGGACAGGGUAGCAGAGAGAAAAAAGUGAAAACUUUCAAGUUGCACCCAAAGUACAACGUCGAGGGCAGACGGAAUGUGGGCGUGGCCGAGUUUUAUGACUAUGAUGUGGCUCUUAUCCAACUGGAGGAACCAGUGAAGAUCUCUAGUGCUGCGAGACCAAUAUGCAUACCUUGCACCCAGGAGACCAGCGACGCUCUCAAGCUGGUUGGCGAGUCGACUUGCAAGCAACAAGAGCAGCUCCUGUUAAAGAAUCAACUUGAGCGACUGAGUUUCCUAACAAGGAAGGAUCCGCUGGUGGCAGAAAAGGACGUCCACGCCAAGCUUGGAGAAAACAGACCAGCAUGCAUAAGAAAAGCACUGCUGGCACCAGGCAUCACCGCUGCUAACGAAACGAUUGCUGUGACCGAUAACUUCUUGUGCACCGGUGGUCGGUCACCGCAGAGAGAUCACAUAGCAUGCACAGGUGAUUCUGGCGGGGCUGUAUUCAAGAACUACGAGCAGCGGACAAUCCAGAUCGGAGUGGUCAGCUGGGGAACUCAUCAGCUGUGCGGCUCCACGGACGGUCUGAUCGAAUCCACUGAUGAUUCCAGAGAUUUCCACAUCAAUCUUUUUAAAAUGGUCCCUUUCCUUAGUGAAAACCUUGGAGAUGAUAAUCAAGACUACACAGCGCUAAAGUUUCUGAAAAACUAAACAGAGCUGCACGCUGUAAUCUGUUUCAUGAGAUUACAUGUGCUCCUAAAGCACACGCUUGCUCUCUUUUAAGAUCAACCUUUCGGCAGUACCCCACAUAAGAGGCAUUCAGUGAGUAUUUGGUAGUUUCAUGAAAUGAUUGAAUAUAUAUUGUGGUCAAAAUGUCCCCUCUUUUAACCAUGGAGGAUCAUCUGUGUAAUAAAUCCUUGUGCCAUUUUAAAGCUGCACACAGUCAGAAAAAUAACCAUUUCUUGGAUUAAAGUUUUACAUAUACAAUUUUA